UGGGGAAUUUUGGACAAUGGGGGAAACCCUGAUCCAGCCAUCCCGCGUGUGCGAUGAAGGCCUUCGGGUUGUAAAGCACUUUUGGCAGGAAAGAAACGUCGCGGGUUAAUACCCCGCGAAACUGACGGUACCUGCAGAAUAAGCACCGGCUAACUACGUGCCAGCAGCCGCGGUAAUACGUAGGGUGCAAGCGUUAAUCGGAAUUACUGGGCGUAAAGCGUGCGCAGGCGGUUCGGAAAGAAAGAUGUGAAAUCCCAGAGCUUAACUUUGGAACUGCAUUUUUAACUACCGGGCUAGAGUGUGUCAGAGGGAGGUGGAAUUCCGCGUGUAGCAGUGAAUGCGUAGAUAUGCGGAGGAACACCGAUGGCGAAGGCAGCCUCCUGGGAUAACACUGACGCUCAUGCACGAAAGCGUGGGGAGCAAACAGGAUUAGAUACCCUGGUAGUCCACGCCCUAAACGAUGUCAACUAGCUGUUGGGGCCUUCGGGCCUUGGUAGCGCAGCUAACGCGUGAAGUUGACCGCCUGGGGAGUACGGUCGCAAGAUU
rnacentral:rRNA from 1 species